rnacentral:rRNA from 1 species
GAUGAACGCUCGCUACAGGCUUAACACAUGCAAGUCGAGGGGAAACGGCAUCGAAAGCUUGCUUUUGAUGGGCGUCGACCGGCGCACGGGUGAGUAACGCGUAUCCAACCUGCCCAUCACUUGGGAAUAACCUUGCGAAAGUAAGACUAAUGCCCAAUGACAUCCCACGAAGGCAUCCGAAUGGGAUUAAAGAUUUAUCGGUGAUGGAUGGGGAUGCGUCUGAUUAGCUUGUUGGCGGGGUGACGGCCCACCAAGGCAACGAUCAGUAGGGGUUCUGAGAGGAAGGUCCCCCACAUUGGAACUGAGACACGGUCCAAACUCCUACGGGAGGCAGCAGUGAGGAAUAGUGGUCAAUGGGCGAGAGCCUGAACCAGCCAAGUAGCGUGCAGGAGGACGGCCCUAUGGGUUGUAAACUGCUUUUAUAAGGGAAUAAAGUGGGUCACGUGUGACUUUUUGCAUGUACCUUAUGAAUAAGGACCGGCUAAUUCCGUG